rnacentral:lncRNA from 1 species
GGUGUCUUUCUGAACUCCCUCGACUGUCCGAGCUUCCAUAAUACCAUCCGAACUUCUUCGAUAAUGAGCUCCUCCAUUCAUAUACCAGGCUGCUCCGAAUGCUUUCCGAGCUUCACUAUCAGUCGAUUUUUUACAGUGAUCGACUAUUCUCCGAAUCUCUUCCAGACUUCUUCCGACCGUGAAUGACUUUACUCCAAACUUCUUUCGGACUUCGUCAAUGUCUGAGCUUCUCCAACAACAGGACCUCUACAGUAACCAGACUUC